GCAGUCGAACGCGUUGGUCCAAUUGAUUGAUGGUGCUUGCACCUGAUUGAUUUUGGUCGCCAACGAGUGGCGGACGGGUGAGUAACACGUAGGUAACCUGCCCAGAAGCGGGGGACAACAUUUGGAAACAGAUGCUAAUACCGCAUAACAGCGUUGUUCGCAUGAACAACGCUUAAAAGAUGGCUUCUCGCUAUCACUUCUGGAUGGACCUGCGGUGCAUUAGCUUGUUGGUGGGGUAACGGCCUACCAAGGCGAUGAUGCAUAGCCGAGUUGAGAGACUGAUCGGCCACAAUGGGACUGAGACACGGCCCAUACUCCUACGGGAGGCAGCAGUAGGGAAUCUUCCACAAUGGGCGCAAGCCUGAUGGAGCAACACCGCGUGAGUGAAGAAGGGUUUCGGCUCGUAAAGCUCUGUUGUUAAAGAAGAACACGUAUGAGAGUAACUGUUCAUACGUUGACGGUAUUUAACCAGAAAGUCACGGCUAACUACGUGCCAGCAGCCGCGGUAAUACGUAGGUGGCAAGCGUUAUCCGGAUUUAUUGGGCGUAAAGAGAGUGCAGGCGGUUUUCUAAGUCUGAUGUGAAAGCCUUCGGCUUAACCGGAGAAGUGCAUCGGAAACUGGAUAACUUGAGUGCAGAAGAGGGUAGUGGAACUCCAUGUGUAGCGGUGGAAUGCGUAGAUAUAUGGAAGAACACCAGUGGCGAAGGCGGCUACCUGGUCUGCAACUGACGCUGAGACUCGAAAGCAUGGGUAGCGAACAGGAUUAGAUACCCUGGUAGUCCAUGCCGUAAACGAUGAGUGCUAGGUGUUGGAGGGUUUCCGCCCUUCAGUGCCGGAGCUAACGCAUUAAGCACUCCGCCUGGGGAGUACGACCGCAAGGUUGAAACUCAAAGGAAUUGACGGGGGCCCGCACAAGCGGUGGAGCAUGUGGUUUAAUUCGAAGCUACGCGAAGAACCUUACCAGGUCUUGACAUCUUGCGCCAACCCUAGAGAUAGGGCGUUUCCUUCGGGAACGCAAUGACAGGUGGUGCAUGGUCGUCGUCAGCUCGUGUCGUGAGAUGUUGGGUUAAGUCCCGCAACGAGCGCAACCCUUGUUACUAGUUGCCAGCAUUAAGUUGGGCACUCUAGUGAGACUGCCGGUGACAAACCGGAGGAAGGUGGGGACGACGUCAGAUCAUCAUGCCCCUUAUGACCUGGGCUACACACGUGCUACAAUGGACGGUACAACGAGUCGCGAACUCGCGAGGGCAAGCAAAUCUCUUAAAACCGUUCUCAGUUCGGACUGCAGGCUGCAACUCGCCUGCACGAAGUCGGAAUCGCUAGUAAUCGCGGAUCAGCAUGCCGCGGUGAAUACGUUCCCGGGCCUUGUACACACCGCCCGUCACACCAUGAGAGUUUGUAACACCCAAAGUCGGUGGG
rnacentral:rRNA from 1 species